AAAGGAUCAGAAUGAAGCCUACUCGAUAGACGCAGAGAACUAUGAGUCCUCCAGUGGAAGAAUAGAAGUAAAACACAGCUGGACAGCUCUGUGCUGAAGGCUGGCCUACGCCAUCUCACUUAACCCUUACCUCCAUGUCCCUGCGCUGUUACAUCCCAGCCAUCACUGUCAUCGUCCUCAUACAAAUGAGGGAAGCAGAGCCAGCAGCUUGUAAGUGAUAGGAAGUCGUUCCUCAGCCUUCUGGAGGUUACAAAGCUCAAGACCAAGUAUGAAGAGGUUCUCUGGGAGCUAUGGGGUGUGGAGUUUCAGACAUUCCAGCCCAUCCAGGUGGACCGUGAUGAUUUAACUUCAAAGCAAGAGUGUAGUUGGUGCCCACUGCACUAAGCAGAUAUGGUGGAUCUGAACCAUUGCCUUCCCUCAGCAUGCAGACUGACCCGGAAAGAAUCUUUAUUCAUUAGGAUUGCCAGGUCUCCAGCUAAAGCUCUGAUGAAGGACUAUGGACGACUUCAGAAAUUAUUCGUCAUCUAGUGCUAAAGUUUCCUACAGCACAGUUGCAGAAAGUAGCUUCAGUGUGACCCGAGCUUUAUUUAAACAACACGUAUACCUCCAGGUAAAAUAUGAGUGAAAAAGUCUAAAGAGAACUCCUCCUCGUUUUUUUAAGGAAAUAAAUAAGCACUUUUCUGAGCAGCCAACA
ensembl:lincRNA Gm43832 predicted gene 43832